rnacentral:rRNA from 1 species
GACGAACGCUGGCGGCGUGCCUAAUACAUGCAAGUAGAACGCUGAAGGAGGAGCUUGCUUCUCUGGAUGAGUUGCGAACGGGUGAGUAACGCGUAGGUAACCUGCCUGGUAGCGGGGGAUAACUAUUGGAAACGAUAGCUAAUACCGCAUAAUAGUAGAUGUUGCAUGACAUUUACUUAAAAGGUGCAAUUGCAUCACUACCAGAUGGACCUGCGUUGUAUUAGCUAGUUGGUGGGGUAACGGCUCACCAAGGCGACGAUACAUAGCCGACCUGAGAGGGUGAUCGGCCACACUGGGACUGAGACACGGCCCAGACUCCUACGGGAGGCAGCAGUAGGGAAUCUUCGGCAAUGGACGAAAGUCUGACCGAGCAACGCCGCGUGAGUGAAGAAGGUUUUCGGAUCGUAAAGCCCUGUUGUAAGAGAAGAACGAGUGUGAGAGUGGAAAGUUCACACUGUGACGGUAUCUUACCAGAAAGGGACGGCUAACUACGUG